rnacentral:rRNA from 1 species
AGUGAACGCUGGCGGUAGGCCUAACACAUGCAAGUCGAACGGCAGCACAGUAAGAGCUUGCUCUUACGGGUGGCGAGUGGCGGAUGGGUGAGGAAUACAUCGGAAUCUACUUUUUCGUGGGGGAUAACGUAGGGAAACUUACGCUAAUACCGCAUACGACCUACGGGUGAAAGCAGGGGAUCUUCGGACCUUGCGCGAUUGAAUGAGCCGAUGUCGGAUUAGCUAGUUGGCGGGGUAAAGGCCCACCAAGGCGACGAUCCGUAGCUGGUCUGAGAGGAUGAUCAGCCACACUGGAACUGAGACACGGUCCAGACUCCUACGGGAGGCAGCAGUGGGGAAUAUUGGACAAUGGGCGCAAGCAUGAUCCAGCCAUACCGCGUGGGUGAAGAAGGCCUUCGGGUUGUAAAGCCCUUUUGUUGGGAAAGAAAAGCAGCAGGUUAAUACCCCGCUGUUCUGACGGUACCCAAAGAAUAAGCACCGGCUAACUUCGUG